GCGGGCCGGAAGUACUCGAGUAGGGAGUCUGGCCUAGUGAAAAUCUCUGUUUCCUCCUUUUCUUACUUUUCACCCAAUAAAACCCUGCUUUACACACCCUUCAAACCAUCUGUGAGCCUGAAUUUUUACGGCCAUGGGACAGACAAGGAUCCUGUCUUUAUCUAAACUAAGGAAAAGUCCUGCAACAUUUGUGGUGCACAACGUGGGGCUCGAGAAGUGGCCUCUGUCUCAGAAGACAAUACACAACCUGGUCACUUAGGAGCCACUCUGCCUCCAGUCCUGAUCAAAGACUUACAAGGGAUAAGUUGCCAUAUAAUCUAGCCAGAUAUGUGCUGGGCCUACAAAGGGAGAAAAAGGACAACAUGCUGAAGGAACUACAGGACUUAGCUAACAGGAAAAUGCCUAUUUUGGAGUGAAACCAGGGCUGCCUUAUGAGCUAAACAGAGUGUGUUACAGCUUCAAUAGACUAAACAAGCUCUAAAUUUAUCUUCCUAUGGUCACGGGAUCUCAUAUAUUCUGGCUGUCAUUGUCAUAAUAAGCCACUCUUGGUCAUAUGGAAAAGCAUUCAGCUGCUCCCUGCCUUUGCUCACAGCGUGUGGUACUCUCUUAGAAGCUAUUCCUGGUGAGUAUCUGGCUUGCGACUCCCUGAAGCUCUCUCAAUGCAAUUCUGUACUAAUCUCCUCUGUGCUAGCGAAAAAGAAUAUAUAGGGCUGACCACACUUUUAAUCCUUAUUGUGACAUCUGAUUUAAUAUGUCUAUAUGGAAUUAUGAAAAAAGUAUUUGAAAUAUUUGAGUUACUCAUGUUGAGAAAGGAUAGAAUAAUGACUCUUAGGAUAUAUAUGGAAGAAAUGUAGAGAAUUCACACUUUUAGUGGGAUGUAAUUUUAGAAUAGAAUUGUAGAGAGAAAUACUACAACUGUUGAUAUGUAUUUAGAGCAAAUUUUAGAAAAUUUAAAAUGUGACUUAAUUUAAUUUCAUAUAACAAAUCCCAAAUGGGUUUCCUAAAGGUUUUUUUUUUCUUUUGCCACAAAUGGAUUUCCCUUUAGAGUUAUGUCAAUGGGAAUUUUUUUUUCAAUGAGUCAAGUAGCAACAAUAACGUGCUAACAUUUUUUCCUAAAUGUCUUCCUAAAUAUCUUAAUUUUUUUAUGUUGUAGCUGCUGAAAUAUCUGUCAUCAAAGGGACAAUAAUUCAAAUAAGCACAAAGCUUAAACACACAUUUUACAUAUUAUUGGAUUCUUGGUUUGAAUGUAAAUGUUCUAAACAUAACUUAUUGACACAAUGGUGCCAUAAUUAAAAAUAGGCAGAAAUUAUCUAUAAUGACCAAUUUUCUAAAAACAUAAUUCUUUUGAAAUGAUAUGUUUUAAAUUUUUUACUCAGAGAAACAGUAGAACAUUUUAGUUAGUAUUGAAAACUUUGAUAAAAUUAAACCAUAUUAAAAAUGUUAAGAGUAUCUAUUUUAUACACAUACACACACACACGCACACACACACAUACAAGAUUUUGAGGGAUGUUUUCAGUGUUUUUUGCCAAUUUUAGACAAUGUACCAAAUGAUAGAAUUCAUAGUAAUUUCAUAGGAGCUUGACUAUGUCUGUGGUUUGCAAUGAACACAGAUGCAUUUAUUUUGAUAUUAGAUAUUUAAAUGCAUGCAGUUAAUAUAUUUAAAUUUAUGAUUACAUAUUCAAACUGUAUGAAAGCACAAGGUAUGUGAAAAGCUUAUCUUAUACAUUUUUUCAUUCAACAAACACAAUGUCUGAACAGAGAUUCUCAAUCUGAGACUGAGUUAUUAUUGGACAGAUGCUUAUUGUUUUCUCCAUGUAAGACUGAUUUUUCAUAGAAAUAAAAAAAUACUUUCUAAUUUGCCCAACUAUUUUGAUCUUGUCUUACUUUUCAAAAAGCUUCCUAUGAAAUGCCUAGUCUUUUUAAUUUCUUCUUAUUAUUUUUAUUCUUAAUUUUUAUAUUUAUUAUUGUUGUUUUGUUGUAAAAAUUGAGCCAUCUUGAAGAUUAUGAAUGAUUUAAGAAAACAGUUAAAUAUUAGAAUAAAUGAAUGUAUCAUCCAACUGUUGUGUCCCACGAGUCUAAGAAAGAAAAACAAAUCAGGAAAUAAGUUACAUUACUAUUCAAUGAGAAGUAAUACAAAUUUAGAUCCAUUUAAUUUAAAAUACUUUUAUGUAAACAAUAAAGUGAGAGAUGAAAGAGUAAUUUUACAAGCACUGUUGACAAAUGGUGUAAUUAGAAAGAACAUGUGUAUCAAAGAAUGUUCCUUCGCUAGAUCAUUUUGAAUGCAUAAAUGACAUUGAAACCAUGCAUCAAAUAUUGAAAGAAAUAGGAUAUAAUAGCAUGAAGGAAAAAGUGAGACUGUGUAUACAAUAAUUUUCUUUUCUUUCUUUUUUUUACUAUUUAUUUACUUACUUGUUUUGAGGAUUUCAUUUUAAAAGAGAGGAUAGG